UUCAGUCGAUGCCGGCCCGACGAACGGAACGCGAUCCUCUUCACUUCUUCGGUCCGUCUCGCUCUCCGGCAAAGACGAGGCAACCCGCCGCCACGCCGCCGGUGGCAAAAUCAUCCAUACGACGGCGGCCGGUUUUUUCGCCCCGUCACCGGCGAAGUUGUACCACGUGACUAUGUUGUCGUCGAAAAGUUCAGCAUAUAUUAAAGAUGAGUUAAGGAUAACAGUCAGACCUGCAAGUGGGCAUUUUCAGACUUAUCCGCUGUAUUCUAUGGAAAGAGAAUUUCCUGGCAGCGCUGAAGACUGUGUCAUAUGGAACAGAAAAAAUGUAAAUGCCUGCAUUUCGGCAAAAUGUUGACGGCAUAAAAAUCUGACGGAAGCUUUCUGCUGAGGGCGAGCGGCGGAAGAACAGGCAGUGUCCUGCAGAGAAUCAUCCUCGUCAUCUUCAUCCAUGAGGUCCGACGUGAGGAAGGAGUCGGUGUCGGAACCAUCACCCAAGG